rfam:Gossypium arboreum cultivar AKA8401 contig_25027_3, whole genome shotgun sequence.
AAACCAAGCAUAGGACAUUUUUUAAGUAAUUCCUUAAUCGUUCCCAGGCUGCGUAAAGCGUUUCAUCCUCUGAUUGUUGAAAAGAUGUGAAUUUAUUUAUAAGCUU